rnacentral:rRNA from 1 species
AUUGAACGCUGGCGGCAUGUUUUACUCAUGCAAGUCGAACGGUAACAGGUUAAGCUGACGAGUGGCGAACGGGUGAGUAAUGCAUCGGAACGUGCCCGAUCGUGGGGGAUAACGCAGCGAAAGCUGCGCUAAUACCGCAUACGAUCUGAGGAUGAAAGCGGGGGACCGUAAGGCCUCGCGCGAUCGGAGCGGCCGAUGUCAGAUUAGGUAGUUGGUGGGGUAAAGGCUCACCAAGCCAACGAUCUGUAGCUGGUCUGAGAGGACGACCAGCCACACUGGGACUGAGACACGGCCCAGACUCCUACGAGAGGCAGCAGUGGGGAAUUUUGGACAAUGGGCGAAAGCCUGAUCCAGCAAUGCCGCGUGCAGGAAGAAGGCCUUCGGGUUGUAAACUGCUUUUGUACGGAGCGAAAAGGCCCUCUCUAAUACAGUGGGCUCAUGACGGUACCGUAAGAAUAAGCACCGGCUAACUACGUGCCAGCCGCCGCAGUAA